AUUGAACGCUGGCGGCAGGCCUAACACAUGCAAGUCGAACGAGUGGCUGACGGGUGAGUAAUGUCUGGGAAACUGCCCGAUGGAGGGGGAUAACUACUGGAAACGGUAGCUAAUACCGCAUACCAUCGGAUGUGCCAAGAUGGGAUUAGCUAUGAGGUGAGGUAACGGCUCACCUAGGCGACGAUCCCUAGCUGGUCUGAUAGGAUGACCAGCCACCUUGGAACUGCGAAAGGGUCCAGCUUCCUACGGUAGGAAGCAGUGGUGAUCAUUUCACAAUGGGCGCAAGCCUUAUGCAGCCAUGGCGGGGUGAUGAAGACGGCCUUCUGGUUUUAAAGUACUUUCAGCGGGGAGGCGUUGUCCGCUGAAGAGGCACCGGCUAACUCCGUGCCAUCCGCCGCGGUAGUAC
rnacentral:rRNA from 1 species